GUCUGUAGCAGCACUCAGAUAUACCGUAUUUAACGCAACACACGAUCGCUACUGAACACCGACGUGACGUCUUAAGUUUACUUUCAUACUGUAAAACAGUGAAAGAUCUGACUAGCGCUAGGCUAGCUCACUCCGCUAGCUAACGGCUAACCUGUACAUGUUUUCGCAGGUUUUAUGUCGAGCAGUGAAAUUGUGAGAUAGCUCCACGUGUUUUGACUCGUGUAAUAUAAUUAAGAGAUCGUUAUCGUGUUGAAGAGUUUAAAACUGAGGAUGGGUGAUAAAUCGGGUCAGGGAUGCUCAUCUGUCUUCACUGUCUCAGACACUGCUGCUGUGGAAUGAACGAUUGAAUUUGUUGAAUUUUAUCAAAUGUGAUGUCUUUUAAUGGGCUCAGAGUUUUCUGGAGUCACAUGCAUUAAACUAGGCAAAGUUCUGCACAGAAACAAAAUGGAGGGUUGAAGGGAUUUUUGAGCAAGACGGUUCGACAUUUCAAACUCCACGCUCCUCCUGCUACAGUAUACGCUCUCCCUGUCUCCCUCAUCGCCAUGGCGCUCCUCUGCUGCGUCACGUGUGCUAUCGACCGGCCAGUUCCGUUAGAAGGAGGUUUCUAGGAAGCCAAUAAAUUUGACAACAAACAGCAAACAUCGUCAUGUGUCACGCUGUUCAUUCAUAAAUGUGUAAAAGAUCUACUUAAAAAUAGCAAAAAAUAAUCCUGC
ensembl:lncRNA